CCUACGGUGUGCAGCAGUGAGGAAUAUUGGUCAAUGGACGAGAGUCUGAACCCGCCAAGUAGCGUGAAGGCUGCCUGCCCUAUGGGUUGUAACCUUCUUUUAUAUGGUAACAAAACGUUCCACGUGUGGGCUUUUGUAUGUACCAUAUGACUAAGGAUCGGCUACCUCCGUGCCAUCAGCCUCGGUAAUACGGAGGCUCCGAGCGUUAUCCGGAUUUAUUUGGUUUAAAGGGAGCGUAGGUGGAUUGUUAAGUCAGUUGUGAAAGUUUGCGGCGCAACCGUAAAAUUGCAGUUGACACUGGCAGUCUUGAGUACAGUAGAGGUGGGCGGAAUUCGUGGUGUAGCGGUGAAAUGCUUAGAUAUCACGAAGAACUCCGAUUGCGAAGGCAGUUCACUGGACUGCAACUGACACUGAGGCUCGAAAGUGUGGGUAUCAAACAGGAUUAGAUACCCUAGUAGUC
rnacentral:rRNA from 1 species